AUAUUGGUCAAUGGGCGAGAGCCUGAACCAGCCAAGUAGCGUGAAGGAUGACUGCCCUAUGGGUUGUAAACUUCUUUUAUACGGGAAUAAAGUGAGCCACGUGUGGCUUUUUGUAUGUACCGUAUGAAUAAGGAUCGGCUAACUCCGUGCCAGCAGCCGCGGUAAUACGGAGGAUCCGAGCGUUAUCCGGAUUUAUUGGGUUUAAAGGGAGCGUAGAUGGAUGUUUAAGUCAGUUGUGAAAGUUUGCGGCUCAACCGUAAAAUUGCAGUUGAUACUGGUUUCCUUGAGUGCAGUUGAGGCAGGCGGAAUUCGUGGUGUAGCGGUGAAAUGCUUAGAUAUCACGAAGAACUCCGAUUGCGAAGGCAGCUUACUGGAUUGUAACUGACGCUGAUGCUCGAAAGUGUGGGUAUCAAACAGGAUUAGAUACCCUGGUAGUCCACACAGUAAACGAUGAAUACUCGCUGUUGGCGAUAUACUGUCAGCGGCCAAGCGAAAGCAUUAAGUAUUCCACCUGGGGAGUACGCCGGCAACGGUGAAACUCAAAGGAAUUGACGGGGGCCCGCACAAGCGGAGGAACAUGUGGUUUAAUUCGAUGAUACGCGAGGAACCUUACCCGGGCUUAAAUUGCAGACGAAUUACCUGGAAACAGGUAAGCCGCAAGGCGUCUGUGAAGGUGCUGCAUGGUUGUCGUCAGCUCGUGCCGUGAGGUGUCGGCUUAAGUGCCAUAACGAGCGCAACCCUUGUUGUCAGUUACUAACAGGUUCCGCUGAGGACUCUGACAAGACUGCCAUCGUAAGAUGUGAGGAAGGUGGGGAUGACGUCAAAUCAGCACGGCCCUUACGUCC
rnacentral:rRNA from 1 species